rnacentral:rRNA from 1 species
GUCUACGGCUAUGAUACCCUGAACAAGCCCAAUCCUGUCUGAUCUCGGAAGCUAAGCAGGAUUGGGCCUGGUUAGUACUUGGAUGGGAGACCACCUAGGAAGACCAGGCGCUUUAGGCA